AUGGUGCAGCGGCCUGUUAACCUUCCACCGUUGGAAGCGGACAGUGAGCGCUGCUCUGUGAAACCAGCCUAACGCGGUGCCUGUCACUUCAGGGACAGAGAGGCCGAAGCUUUCGCAACAGCCCCCCAGCCCACUACCAACUUGGACCGGGCAGGCCAGCAUGUUACGAGCCCAGGUCCAGAGUCCGCACCAAACAUCCAGCACCACCUUAACGCCCCCUUUUUAGGCGUUUCUCUUGAUGGCUAA
rnacentral:SRP_RNA from 1 species